rnacentral:lncRNA from 1 species
AGAUAGAGUCUUCCUCUGUCGCCUAGGCUGGAGUGCAGUGGCGCGAUCUCGGCGCACCGCAACCUCUGCCUCCCGGGUUCAAGCGAAUUCUCCUGCCUCAGCCUCCGGAGUAGCUGGGAUUACAGAUGUGCUCCACCAUGCCCGGCUAAUUUUUGUAUUUUUAGUAGAGAUGGGGGGGUUUCACCAUGUUGGCCAGGCUGGUCUCGAACUCCUGACCUUGUGAUCCACUAGCUUCGGCCUCCCGAAGUUCUGGGAUUACAGGCAUGAGCCACCACACCCGGAUGAAUUAUGCCAUUUUUAAGGCAAAGCAGCGGUGAUGGUGGGUGAUGGAGUGACAUCAGGAGCGCCAGAAGGAGGAAGUCAGAAAGCCCUUGGGGACAGGAAUGUCCUUGUGUUGCAAACAUUUCUGGUCAGGGAAAGAUGAAGAAAACAGAAUGAGUUUCUGAUAACAGUGUUCCCAACACUUAAUGGUUAAAAGAAGCUUUGAGGAACACCAUAUUUCAGCCCUAUGGAACAGUGAACAAAAAGGAAAAAGCCAGUAAGACUGAUGGUUCUGUAUAAGAUGUCCACUUCUGCAUGAUCUGCUCCAGACAACAAAUGAAAUGCUCUUAUUAUUCCUGUCCCACUCUUGUCUCCCUACAGGCUAACCUCAUCUUUCACAAUCACUAUUUUCACAAUCGAGCUUUGAGAAGCUGAAAAGUCAGCAGGCUAUCUUGGCAAACCCACUAUAGUGUUCUAAAUUCUUUGUCAAAAUUAACCUUUUACAAUCUCUUGGCACUUGGAAGUAGGGGAAGAGUCCAACUGAAAGUGCAGUUUGAUCUCAUGGAGAAAAGUGAUGACACUUACCAAUUCCCCAGACCUGAGACUAAGAAAAUAACCUUGGCCAACAUGCAAAAAAAAUAUAUAUUAAUGAGAGGAGAUACACUAAAUAUAUUUUACUCAUCUCAGCAUAGCUUUCUCACAGGCAGUA